AAUACAUCAACUCCUUUCCCUACCUCCUCGUGGUACUGGCCGGGGUACGAGCAACCUUAGGGAAGUGGGAACUUUGAUCGUGUGCUGACAGGGAAGG
rnacentral:ribozyme from 1 species